AGACCGAUAGCGAACAAGUACCGUGAGGGAAAGAUGAAAAGCACUUUGGAAAGAGAGUUAAACAGCACGUGAAAUUGUUAAAAGGGAAACGAUUGAAGUCAGUCGUGUGAAAGGUAUUCAGCCGUCUCUGGCGGUGUAUUUGCCUUUCACGGGUCAACAUCAGUUUGAUCCGGUAGAAAAAGGCAGGAGGAAGGUGGCACCCUCGGGUGUGUUAUAGCCUCUUGUCAUAUGUGCCGGACCAGACUGAGGAACGCAGCUUGCCGCAAGGCCGGGGUUCGCCCACGUACAAGCUUAGGAUGUUGACAUAAUGGCUUUAAACGACCCGUCUUGAAACACGGACCAAG
rnacentral:rRNA from 1 species